GAGGCAGCAGUGGGGAAUAUUGGACAAUGGGCGCAAGCCUGAUCCAGCAAUGCCGCGUGGGUGAAGAAGGCCUGCGGGUUGUAAAGCCCUUUCAGUAGGGAAGAAAAGCUCGGGGUCAAUACCCCCGGGUCUUGACGUUACCUACAGAAGAAGCACCGGCUAACUCCGUGCCAGCAGCCGCGGUAAUACGGAGGGUGCGAGCGUUAAUCGGAAUUACUGGGCGUAAAGCGCGCGUAGGUGGCUUAGUAAGUCGGAUGUGAAAGCCCUGGGCUUAACCUAGGAACUGCAUUCGAUACUACUAGGCUGGAGUACGGUAGAGGGAAGUGGAAUUCCGGGUGUAGCGGUGAAAUGCGUAGAUAUCCGGAGGAACAUCAAUGGCGAAGGCGACUUCCUGGAUCGAUACUGACACUGAGGCGCGAAAGCGUGGGUAGCAAACAGGAUUAGAUACCCUGGUAGUCCACGCCCUAAACGAUGAGAACUAGACGUUGGGGGAGUUAGUCCCUUGGUGUCGCAGCUAACGCGUUAAGUUCUCCGCCUGGGGAGUACGGCCGCAAGGUUAAAACUCAAAUGAAUUG
rnacentral:rRNA from 1 species